UACGGAGGGUGCGAGCGUUGUCCGGAAUCACUGGGCGUAAAGGGCGCGUAGGCGGCCUGAUAAGUAGGGGGUGAAAUCCUGCGGCUUAACCGCAGGGCUGCCUUCUAAACUGUCAGGCUAGAGCACAGUAGAGGCAGGUGGAAUUCCCGGUGUGGCGGUGGAAUGCGUAGAGAUCGGGAAGAACAUCAGUGGCGAAGGCGGCCUGCUGGGCUGUUGCUGACGCUGAGGCGCGACAGCGUGGGGAGCAAACAGG
rnacentral:rRNA from 1 species